UACGAAGGGUGCAAGCGUUACUCGGAAUUACUGGGCGUAAAGCGUGCGUAGGUGGUUCGUUAAGUCUGCCGUGAAAGCCCCGGGCUCAACCUGGGAAUGGCGGUGGAUACUGGCGGACUAGAGUGCGGUAGAGGGUGGUGGAAUUCCCGGUGUAGCAGUGAAAUGCGUAGAUAUCGUGAGGAACACCAGAGGCGAAGGCGGCUACCUGGACAAUUACUGACGCUCAGGCACGAAAGCGUGGGGAGCAAAAGGG
rnacentral:rRNA from 1 species